rnacentral:rRNA from 1 species
ACUCCUACGGGAGGCAGCAGUAGGGAAUCUUCCACAAUGGGCGCAAGCCUGAUGGAGCAACACCGCGUGAGUGAAGAAGGGUUUCGGCUCGUAAAGCUCUGUUGUUAAAGAAGAACACGUAUGAGAGUAACUGUUCAUACGUUGACGGUAUUUAACCAGAAAGUCACGGCUAACUACGUGCCAGCAGCCGCGGUAAUACGUAGGUGGCAAGCGUUAUCCGGAUUUAUUGGGCGUAAAGAGAGUGCAGGCGGUUUUCUAAGUCUGAUGUGAAAGCCUUCGGCUUAACCGGAGAAGUGCAUCGGAAACUGGAUAACUUGAGUGCAGAAGAGGGUAGUGGAACUCCAUGUGUAGCGGUGGAAUGCGUAGAUAUAUGGAAGAACACCAGUGGCGAAGGCGGCUACCUGGUCUGCAACUGACGCUGAGACUCGAAAGCAUGGGUAGCGAACAGGAUUAGAUACCCUGGUAGGUCAGUC